AUUGAACGCUGGCGGCAGGCUUAACACAUGCAAGUCGAGCGGGGUGAUGGUGCUUGCACUAUCACUUAGCGGCGGACGGGUGAGUAAUGCUUAGGAAUCUGCCUAUAGUGGGGGACAACAUCUCGAAAGGGAUGCUAAUACCGCAUACGUCCUACGGGAGAAAGCAGGGGAUCACUUGUGACCUUGCGCUAAUAGAUGAGCCUAAGUCGGAUUAGCUAGUUGGUGGGGUAAAGGCCUACCACGGCGACGAUCUGUAGCGGGUCUGAGAGGAUGAUCCGCCACACUGGGACUGAGACACGGCCCAGACUCCUACGGGAGGUAGCAGUGGGGAAUAUUGGACAAUGGGGGGAACCCUGAUCCAGCCAUGCCGCGUGUGUGAAGAAGGCCUUAUGGUUGUAAAGCACUUUAAGCGAGGAGGAGGCUCUUUUGGUUAAUACCCAAGAUGAGUGGACGUUACUCGCAGAAUAAGCACCGGCUAACUCUGUGCCAGCCGCCGCCGUAA
rnacentral:rRNA from 1 species